GAGAGUUUGAUCCUGGCUCAGGAUGAACGCUGGCGGCGUGCUUAACACAUGCAAGUCGAACGGUGAAGCAGAGCUUGCUCUGUGGAUCAGUGGCGAACGGGUGAGUAACACGUGAGCAAUCUGCCCCUGACUCUGGGAUAAGCGCUGGAAACGGCGUCUAAUACCGGAUACGAGCUGCGACCGCAUGGUCAGUAGCUGGAAAGAAUUUCGGUCAGGGAUGAGCUCGCGGCCUAUCAGCUUGUUGGUGAGGUAAUGGCUCACCAAGGCGUCGACGGGUAGCCGGCCUGAGAGGGUGACCGGCCACACUGGGACUGAGACACGGCCCAGACUCCUACGGGAGGCAGCAGUGGGGAAUAUUGCACAAUGGGCGAAAGCCUGAUGCAGCAACGCCGCGUGAGGGAUGACGGCCUUCGGGUUGUAAACCUCUUUUAGCAGGGAAGAAGCGAAAGUGACGGUACCUGCAGAAAAAGCGCCGGCUAACUACGUGCCAGCAGCCGCGGUAAUACGUAGGGCGCAAGCGUUAUCCGGAAUUAUUGGGCGUAAAGAGCUCGUAGGCGGUCUGUCGCGUCUGCUGUGAAAACCCGAGGCUCAACCUCGGGCCUGCAGUGGGUACGGGCAGACUAGAGUGCGGUAGGGGAGAUUGGAAUUCCUGGUGUAGCGGUGGAAUGCGCAGAUAUCAGGAGGAACACCGAUGGCGAAGGCAGAUCUCUGGGCCGUAACUGACGCUGAGGAGCGAAAGGGUGGGGAGCAAACAGGCUUAGAUACCCUGGUAGUCCACCCCGUAAACGUUGGGAACUAGUUGUGGGGUCCAUUCCACGGAUUCCGUGACGCAGCUAACGCAUUAAGUUCCCCGCCUGGGGAGUACGGCCGCAAGGCUAAAACUCAAAGGAAUUGACGGGGACCCGCACAAGCGGCGGAGCAUGCGGAUUAAUUCGAUGCAACGCGAAGAACCUUACCAAGGCUUGACAUAUAGAGGAAACGUCUGGAAACAGUCGCCCCGCAAGGUCUCUAUACAGGUGGUGCAUGGUUGUCGUCAGCUCGUGUCGUGAGAUGUUGGGUUAAGUCCCGCAACGAGCGCAACCCUCGUUCUAUGUUGCCAGCACGUAAUGGUGGGAACUCAUGGGAUACUGCCGGGGUCAACUCGGAGGAAGGUGGGGAUGACGUCAAAUCAUCAUGCCCCUUAUGUCUUGGGCUUCACGCAUGCUACAAUGGCCGGUACAAAGGGCUGCAAUACCGUGAGGUGGAGCGAAUCCCAAAAAGCCGGUCCCAGUUCGGAUUGAGGUCUGCAACUCGACCUCAUGAAGUCGGAGUCGCUAGUAAUCGCAGAUCAGCAACGCUGCGGUGAAUACGUUCCCGGGUCUUGUACACACCGCCCGUCAAGUCAUGAAAGUCGGUAGCACCUGAAGCCGGUGGCCCAACCCUUGUGGAGGGAGCCGUCGAAGGUGGGAUCGGUAAUUAGGACUAAGUCGUAACAAGGUAGCCGUA
rnacentral:rRNA from 1 species